rnacentral:rRNA from 1 species
AUAAUUGAGAGUUUGAUCCUGGCUCAGGAUAAACGCUGGCGGCGUGCAUAACACAUGCAAGUCGAACGAUGAAACUUAGCUGAUUUCUUCGGAAUGAAAUUAAGUGGAUUAGUGGCGAACGGGUGAGUAACACAGUGACCAAAGAUUUAUCGGUGUAAGAUGGACUUGCGUCUGAUUAGCUAGUUGGUGAGAUAAAAGCCCACCAAGGCGACGAUCAGUAGCCGGCUUGAGAGAGUGUACGGCCACAUUGGGACUGAGACACGGCCCAAACUCCUACGGGAGGCAGCAGUGGGGAAUUUUGCACAAUGGGGGAAACCCUGAUGCAGCGACGCCGCGUGAUUUAGAAGGCCUUCGGGUUGUAAAAAUCUUUUUUAUGGGAUGAAAAUGACAGUACCAUAAGAAUAAGGUCCGGCUAAAUACGUGCCAGCAGCCGCGGUAAUACGUAUGGACCGAGCGUUGUCCGGAAUCAUUGGGCGUAAAGGGUACGUAGGCGGCCUAGUAAGUUAGAAGUGAAAUAAUAUAGCUCAACUAUAUAAAGCUUUUAAAACUGUUAGGCUUGAGAGAUGAAAGGGAAAGUGGAAUUCCUAGUGUAGCGGUGAAAUGCGCAGAUAUUAGGAAGAAUACCGGUGGCGAAGGCGACUUUCUGGUCAUCAUCUGACGCUGAGGUACGAAAGCGUGGGUAGCAAACAGGAUUAGAUACCCUGGUAGUCCACGCUGUAAACGAUGAGUGUUAGGUUCUUGGAAUAAUCUGGGAGCCGCAGCUAACGCAUUAAACACUCCGCCUGGGGAGUACGCACGCAAGUGUGAAACUCAAAGGAAUUGACGGGGACCCGCACAAGCAGCGGAGCAUGUGGUUUAAUUCGACGCAACGCGAAGAACCUUACCAAGUCUUGACAUAAUACGGAGGGA